UGGGUUGUCCCUGAAGACUGAUGGGAUAAUAAGCAGUAGUCAAGUAUUAAGUUGACCUAGUAAAGGUCCCAUAUGAAUAAACCUGGGGUAGGACCACAGCUGGCAUCUUUCAAAUGCAACUUUUACAUUUGUCUCCUGUAAAGGGGGAGUGCAUUCAGACAGGAAUUUCACAUCUGGGAGAAAAGUGAAAGGCUGCAGGCUUUGGAUUAACAUUGCUUAAGUGGAAUGGAUUUAAUGUGAUCAACAAUCACUGCUAUGUCAUUUUCCAGCCGAAGUUAACCGAAUAUUGAGUUUAAAAGUACAGCAUCAGUCCAUCAGGAAAUGGAGUCCAAAAUAUGGUUUUAAGAGUUCUUUAUGCAGCCAUGCUGGUUUCAUGCUGGAUGAGAAGUGAAGCAUCUUCAAAAGACAAAACAAAGUCCAGUUGCCUCCUAAAAAAGCACCUUUGGGACAACCAUGAUUUGGAUGACUGAGAAUCUCUACAGACUUUAAAUCAGAUUAAGGUAUUUCUGAAGCUCCAGAUCUAAUUCACAAAAUGAAUCAGGCAGUUUUGCCUGAUAUCUCAAGAAGGUCCCUGCCUUUGCAUCAUGGUGUCAGUGGGGAAUUGUCUGAGGUGAUGACAUAACAACACAGAAUACUACUCAGAUUUUAAAUUUUAAAAAGUCUUUUAAAUUUUUGCCAUGAAUAAAAGCUUAAACUUUU